CGUAGGGGGCUAGCGUUGUCCGGAUUUAUUGGGCGUAAAGAGCGUGUAGGCGGCCAGAUAGGUCUGCUGUGAAAACUCGAGGCUCAACCUCGAGCUGUCGGCGGAAACCAUCUGGCUAGAGUCCGGAAGAGGAGAGUGGAAUUCCCGGUGUAGCGGUGAAAUGCGCAGAUAUCGGGAAGAACACCUGUGGCGAAGGCGGCUCUCUGGGACGGUACUGACGCUGAGACGCGAAAGCGUGGGGAGCAAACAGGAUUAGAUACCCUGGUAGUCCACGCCGUAAACGAUGGGUGCUAGGUGUGGGGAGUGUCGACUCUCUCCGUGCCGAAGCUAACGCAUUAAGCACCCCGCCUGGGGAGUACGGCCGCAAGGCUA
rnacentral:rRNA from 1 species